rnacentral:lncRNA from 1 species
AGACUGUCUAGCUGGGUCCCUGGGACCACGGGGUUGGGACUCAGAUCAGUGCCUUGCUUAGCCAUCCUCAGGGAAGCCGCUUCUUGCGGCAGAAGGGAGCUACUGAGGGGACCCACAGCUGGACAGCGUGACUCUGGAACACCCCGUCCUAAAUGGUGGUGUUUUCAUUGGUCUUCAGAGACAACAGGAACCAUGUACAUCAGAGGCGAGCAGCACAGGCCCAAGCAGGACGGGGUCUCAGCACCGAGAGGGGGAACUGAACACAUCUCCCCGCCCACCCUAACAGAAGCCCUCCAGCUGAUCUGAGCUCAAAUGGGAAGGAUUUUCUGAACUCCAACACCCUUGGCUCUCUGCUUUCUCUGUUACACUUGUGUAUAAGAGCACACUGGAAUGGAAGUAAGGUCGUCCACAGCAUUAGAUUACAGUCUGCCCACUGUUCCAGGUCCUCAGAGCCUUGGCUGAAGCAGGCGUUUCUUCCGCCGCCCUUUCCACUUACCGUGCACUUCGUCGUCGUCGUCAGCAUCCGACUCUUCCAGAGAGACCUGAGGUUGAGCUUUCACCUCCAGAUUUCUGCUGAGCCAGCUUGUUUGUUCCAAGGAGGAGCCAGCGAUGGUACCUACAGCUUCCAGGAUUCUCUGAGUGAUUUCCUGGAGAGCCAGCAGAAGCAAGACUUAGUUAAGGAGAAGAAAAGUGCCGUGCAUACCACUGACAGGUACAGGGCACAGGCCACCAUGUGAGUCACCGCGCCAUCGCCACGGGUAGACUUACAAUGAGCCACGCUGAGAGACAAAAGGCAGCUGGGGUGACAGAUUUUAGUAAAAGGUUCUGGACCUACAAAUAUGCAAUGCAAACACCAGCCCCACACUCUGCAGCUGUCUCCUACGCUGGCUGGCUUUGGACUCCCGUGGGUACUGGACGCUUGCACUGACCAGGGACUUCUCUCAGCACAUGGUGCCAGUGGCUGCUGCAGGACUGAUGGGAAGGGCCUGCUUUCUGGUUCUCCUGGAUCGUGGUUCACACUGGUAUGAACUAAACACUACAGGACACCACUGUUACUAAGCUGCUGGUCUUGGGACUUUACAAAGUUGUGUGGACUGCCAGGCCACACCAACAGUCGGCCAAGUCAUUCAUGCUGACUCCAUGUGCCCUGGCAGGGUGGUGACGCUCCCUCGAUCCUCACAUAGAAGCAAGACAGCCUGGACUAUCUUGCUGCUGCCUGCCUGCCCUCCACUCCUGAGAAGGUUAGCCUGUGGGGCAGAUUUAUCCUUCAGCCUUGCUCUCCUCAGCCUGUCUCUGUCUGCAGAACCAGUGGCCUCUGCUGAGCUCACUGGAACACUUACUCUCUUUUAUGGGAUGAAGUAUGGCCUUAUUCUAGAAUCACAAUAGAGCCAGUCAAGAUCUUUAUAAACAGUGCUGUGUGCUGUCGUGCAUGAUUGAAACUCCAACACUUGGUAGGCAGGGAGGGGGAGUGUUCAGCUAGGGCUAUACAGAGACUAUACCUUAAAGAUAGCAUUAAAAUAAAUUGCUGUAGUUUU